AUUUUGGCAUCACGCCGCACUGUCUGCCGAUUGGUAACUUCUGUUUGGCGGGUGCUUCCUUCCGGUGCUGCUUUCUGCUCUUAAUUGAGCGGUUCGUUGGUUCCGGUUCCUUUACUUUGAGAAAAUUAGAGUGUUCAAAGCAGGCCUAUGCUCUGAAUAGGUUAGCAUGGAAUAAUAGAAUAGGACUUUGGUUCUAUUUUGUUGGUUUCUAGGACCGAAGUAAUGAUUAAUAGGGACAGUUGGGGGCAUUCAUAUUCCAUUGUCAGAGGUGAAAUUCUUGGAUUAACGGAAGAUGAACUUCUGCGAAAGCAUCUGCCAAGGAUGUUUUCAUUGAUCAAGAACGAAAGUUAGGGGAUCGAAGACGAUCAGAUACCGUCGUACUCUUAACCAUAAACUAUGCCGACUAGGGAUGUGGAGGCGUUAACUUUGUACGACCCUCCAUGCACCUUAUGAUAAAUCAAAGUCUAU
rnacentral:rRNA from 1 species